rnacentral:lncRNA from 1 species
CCCAUCUGCAACUGGGCGGGCACUGAGCCAGCUGCGCCGCUGGCUCCGCCCACUCCAUGGCAGCGCCUGCCUAGCCAAUCGGGAGAUUCCAGGAGCCACACAAAAAGACGUGCAAUCCUACUACCUUCUCCAACUACGGCGCUGCUCAGUCCUCUGCUCUUUCAGGCCUCUGCGGUUUCUCCUGGGGCAGGCUUCAGCACCUUGGUUGCUGGAGGGCUGGGCUGGAAUCAGCUGCUUGACUUACCCUCCUCCGCCUGCAGCACCUCCGCCUCUGCAAAAAUGCAAAAUUUGUUUUUCUCUUGGAAGAGCGUGUGCCCAAGAGUUUGAGGAUGCAGAGUUGGAGUGUUCUUGGCUGACACCAUGGAAGGGGAAAAGAAGGCAAAGUGGAUCCUUGGGAAAAGCAAUGACAUAUACAAAUUGAAAAAAUACCUAGGAAUUCCAGAUGAGGAUGAAGAAAUAGAAGAGACUGGGCAUUUUUCAGUGCUGCUGGGAUGUCUGUGGAGUUUUAGAAAGCGAAGCACCAGAUACUGAAAAACAAAAUCACUUGAGAGCAGUGGUAAUUUAUGAAGAAUAUUCUUGCAAUUGUGAGAUAGAAAUACUCAGGCAAUAUGAGGAACAGCCAGACCCGUGUCUGAAGUGGGUAUCAUUAUGUCAUUGGAAUCUAAUUAGAAGGCUGGUUCAUGAUCUUCUCUGAAGCCUAUUUGGGAUUUUCUUCUACAAAAGCAUGUGCUUGGUCUGGUCUGCUCAUCUGGGGAGUAAUAAAACAGGGUGUUGAGGUUCA